CACUCCACUCCUUCCUCCACUCUCUCCUACCCUUCUCCUACCUCUUCACCACGAAAUGCUGCUGCCCCUUGCUCCCAUGGCCGGCCAUGGCCAUGAAAACCAGCCAAGAUGCAGCUCCCCUCCUUCCUCAAGCUUCCCCUCACCAUGAGAGCUUCCCUCUCACUCUCUUCUCUCCUAACUCUUGAUGAAUCCAGCUCUAUUUCUCUUUUCUCCUCUCUCAAGAUUGGAUCUUGAUGCAGGUGCAUGUUGGUCCAAGCAUGGAGAAGGAUGAGCAAUCCUCAGAUCUGAAGGUUUUGACCAAAGUUCGUCCAAAAUCUUGCAGUAAUUUCUGUAUCUUGCUGUUUCAGAUUCUGGUACGAACUUGUAAAAUCCGCCAAAUCUUGUCUGCAGAUCCAAAUCGAGUGAUUCAAAGUUCCACAGAUCAAGAUCUGGUCAGAUCUGACUUUGUCGAAUUAAACCAGGAGCUUGGAAACGAAUUUUUGAAUGAAACCAGUUGGGGGAUGUUUGGUUCAUACCAUGGUGAUAACCGAGAGAGGCAAUUGCUAAGUGGUGAUACUCUCAUACCCUUACUAGAUGCGAACAAUUCCGGAGAAGAAGAAGAAGUGGUUCGGACAAGGAUUUUAUUUAUAUUGACGGGAUUCUUAUAUUGAUGAAGUUGAAGAAGUCCAGGGACAAAUAAGCCAAG